UCCCUUGUGGCUCAGUUGGUAAAGAAUCUGCCUGUAAUGCAGGAGACCUGGGUUCGAUCCCUGGGUUGGGAA
rfam:TPA: Bos taurus chromosome X, whole genome shotgun sequence.